rnacentral:rRNA from 1 species
UACGUAGGGGCAAGCGUUGUCCGGAUUACUGGGCGUAAAGAGCGUGUAGGCGGCCAAGCAGGUCCGUUGUGAAAACUGGAGGCUUAACCUCCAGACGUCGACGGAAACCGCGUGGCUAGAGUCCGGAAGAGGAGAGUGGAAUUCCUGGUGUAGCGGUGAAAUGCGCAGAUAUCAGGAAGAACACCAAUGGCGAAGGCAGCUCUCUGGGACGGUACUGACGCUGAGACGCGAAAGCGUGGGGAGCGAACAGG